GGUUGUAUAGUGUAGUGGCUAUCACAUCAGAUUCUGAUCCAAGCAGAAGUUUCUGAUAACCCCGGUUCGAUCCCGGGUACGACCU